UGUAUAGUAAAACUUAUAUAUAGAAUAAACUCUAAUUAAUUCUUCUUAUUCUAUUCAACUAAUUUACAUUAACUACACUUUUUUUUUUUUUCUAAUCUUGAUGAAGUUUGGAUGACUAUUCUAACAUAGGUGUGUUUGGUUUGAAGUCGGAAUUGGAAUCGAAAUCGGAAUCAAAAUAAGCUGGAAUCGAAAUCGGAAUGACUCAUUAUCUAAUUCUAUUUGGUUCAUCACCUGAAUCGGAAUCAAAAUACAUCAUUCCUAUUGUCGGUGUUUGGUUCAGGUGGAUAUAAAAAAUGUAAUCAAAUUAAUAUACUAACAUUAUCUUUAUAAUAUAUUAAUUUAAAUUCAAAUUAAAAAUCAAAUAUUAAAAAUUUACAUCAAAAUU
rnacentral:lncRNA from 1 species